UGUUGAAGCACCGAUUCGCGUACUAUUGCUGUAGUUAACCAACGUCGAGCCCGGUCAGUACUUAGAUGGGUGACCGCUUCGGAAUACUAGGUGAUGCAAG